rnacentral:lncRNA from 1 species
UAUCUCCUCUAAGCUUUUGGUAGAUCCUAACAAUCCUUGGAGUUUCUUGGUGUGAGCUGAAGCACUCUACUCUCUGCCUCUGUCUCCAGAGAGCCUUCUGCUCCCUCUGUUGUUCUUUCUUCGUAUAAGGACACCAGUCAUUAGACUUAGGGCCCAUCCUGUAUUUGGUAUGGUAUCAUCUCCAGAUCCUUUAACUAAAUGCAUCUGCCAAGACCCCAUUUCCAAAUAAAUUCACAUUCUUAGAUUUCAGGAGUGGACAUGAAUUUGGAAGAGAUACUAGUCAACCCACUAGAGACAGUAAAGUGUGCUAAUUCUGGGCAAAAGUGUAAGACCUAGCAUGGGAUUUGCCACUCUAUCUGUCCCUUCCCCGUUACAAUCAGCUGUGCUCCAGACAGUGGCUGCUCCCUCUGCCUGGGUCCUGGAGUGAAGAUGGAGCCCAGCAGAGCCCCAGCUGAUCUACAAAGGGAAUGUAACAAGAAUAGAAAUAAAUGUGUCAUUUCUCCUGAAGGGAUAGCAUCUGAAGUAUUUAAUGACCACAGUCCAGCCCUUCAGAGAUAUUUCCGGCAACUUAUGCAGCUCUCCAUUUCUUGCCUCACAUACAAAACACCCUUGAAGACUGGUGUUAACCAAAACCACUUUGCCGGCUCACUGUCCCUCUUAGUCCCAACUCCACUGGCAACAUUUUACUGCCUGUUGUUUCUCUUUGGGUCCAAGGUGUAGAAAUAAAUAGAUUUUAAAGGCAGCCUUUUGUUUCCUUAGAGGGACAAGUUUUCCAGAAGAAAAAGAAUGAAUGCUAGAGCACAUGGGUAUCCUUUGAAAUGAGCUGCAGAGGAGCUGUGUUCAUUUCAGGCUCACAGUCUUGUCACCAGUUUCAGAAGAAUUCUGCACCUGCAGCAGCCAGGAAUAUCUGCUGAGGAACCUUUGUCCUCUACCUAAACCAGGACUCUUCAGCCUGGACUGGAAGGCUCCCAUGUACCAACUGCUCCUGCUGCUGCUGCAGCUGCAACUUCUACUCUCUCUCUCCCCAACCACAGGCCCCAUGAACCCCAAUAGUAGGAGGAAAAGGAAAAGUAAUCAAAAUGCUGUGCUUAAAGGGAUGGUUCUCCAAGUGUGGUACCUGGAUCAGCAGCAUCCUCAGCCCCUGGAAACUUGCUGAAAUGCACUCUUGGACCUUUCUCCAGAACCUCUGGAGUGGUGCCUAGCAAUCUGUGUUUCAGGGAGUCUUCCAGGAGAUUCUGGUGCACAGGAAAGUUUUGGGAGCCACCGGCUUAGGGUUUGAUCUCAGAAGUCAGGUGACCUGCCUAGGAGUUCAUCCAUCUUGGUAAAAAUAUCAUCAACUCUUCUGUCCCCUUUUAAUUGGUGGGGAAAGACCUGCCUGUAGUGCAGUGGAGAAUCCUUGGGAUCCUGGUUAUCUCCUGGCCCUCUGGGCAUUUUGUAUUAACUGUAAGUCACAAGUACUAGCCUGUCUGUGGCAGCAUCCAGGAAACAGAAUCAUGGCAGCUACACGAGAAGCCUCCCACAUGCAGGGUUUCUCUGACGUCUCAUGGUGAAGGACAACAUAUCUAACCUUGUUCUGAGCGAAACGGACAUGUACUUCCAAGUGGCUUGAGAAUCUCUUUAGUUCUAUAUUUAGUCAGUUUACAAGGAGUUUGAGAUGGAUUUUACUGUUUACCAAGGCCUUUCUUGUGUGUCCAUCAUAGUACUUAGGACUGGAAAUCUGUGCUAAUCUCUUGUGAGUUUCCACUUGCAGGAUGCCACUUUGAUAAAAUGUAGAAAUCUUCCAGAUGGCUAGAGAACUGUGCUUCUUUUCUAGAGAAUGAAGUAAAGGAAACUGGGGUAGCAUCCCAGGAGGAAUGACAGAGCAGUACCCACUUCACCAGAUGACAAAUUCAGAGGCACCUAUGGGGCAGUGUGUAAAGUAGGGGAGUCUCUAAUUCAAAAGAAAAUGAUGUGUUCAUGUUCAACAGCUAUGUGGGCUAGACCACCCAGAACCAUUUCUGGCAAACGAAGGCA